rnacentral:rRNA from 1 species
UACAGAGGGGGCAAGCGUUGUUCGGAAUUACUGGGCGUAAAGGGCCAGUAGGCGGCCAACUAAGUCGGACGUGAAAUCCCCAGGCUCAACCUGGGAACUGCGUCCGAUACUGGAUGGCUUGAAUUCGGGAGAGGGAUGCAGAAUUCCAGGUGUAGCGGUGAAAUGCGUAGAUAUCUGGAGGAAUACCGGUGGCGAAGGCUGCAUCCUGGACCGACAUUGACGCUGAACGGCGAAAGCUAGGGGAGCAAACGGG